rnacentral:rRNA from 1 species
GCAAGUCGAGGGGUAACGAUGCAGACUGCUUGCAGUCUAUAGGCGACGACCGGCGGAAGGGUGCGUAACGCGUGAGCAACAUACCUGUUUCAGUGGGAUAACCCGGAGAAAUCCGGACUAAUACCGCAUGACGAUAAUGAUAGACAUCUGUUAUUAUUGAAAAAUUUAUUGGAAACAGAUUGGCUCGCGUAACAUUAGCUAGAUGGUAAGGUAACGGCUUACCAUGGCGACGAUGUUUAGGGGUUCUGAGAGGAAGACC